GUAUUUGCUUCAACAGUACAGACAGUAAUAUUGGGAUGAUACCGAGAAAAUUAGCAUGGCCUCUGUGCAAGGAUAACAUACGAUUUCAGAAAGCAUUUCAUAUUUUU
ensembl:snRNA U6 U6 spliceosomal RNA